UCGAACCCAAGAGAGCAACCAACCAACCCGAACAGACGAGUCGCCUUCUUCCUCCUCCUCGGCCCAGCGCGCGGCGGCGGCGGCAUGGCGGCGGGCGGCGACCUGACCGAGGACGAGCGCAAAGCGCUGCGGGGGAGCAAGUUCGCGCCCCUCCCGGCGCCACCGCCGUCCUCCCGCCCCAACCCGAGGAUGGCCCAUCCUGGAGGACCACUAACUACAAAUAAGGCUGCUGCUUUAGCGAAAUUCCUCGAGAGAAAACUACAGCAACCUGAUGGCUUGGACUCUCUAAAUCCCGAUCUUGUAAAUUUGGCCGUGAAAAAUGCAAAGGAAACCAUAAAGGCAAGCAAGGGUGAGGCCUCAACUUCUGGGAGAGUAGUACGGCAUGUUCCAUCAUUUGAGGACUCCUCUGAGGUUUCCAAUCAAGAUGACGGGGAGCAGAGACAGGAAAAGAAGAAAAAGAAAAAGAAAAAGAAAAAGAGAAAAACAAAGUGUUGCUCCUUGGAUGGUGCCAUAUGAAACGGUUCCUUAUCGAUGUGAUAAUUCUGUUACUGGAAUUUUACUUCACAGUCUGGCAACUACCACCUAUAUGGAACAUUCAUUCAUGAUGUUCAUGGCCGCUAAAGAUUCCAAGCUCCACAAUACAUCAAAGAAGAAAAAGAAGUUAUCGCUAUGACUCUUGAAUAUCCAUGGGACCAUGGAGUUAAAAGAAGGCUGCCGUCCACACUUUUGCACUUCUUAGAUCUCUUGCUUUCAUCUGAACCUCAAUCAACACUGUAAAGUGUAAACCUAGCAGUGGCAUCAAGGUGACCCGUCACAGUGAACAAAACACUUGAGAACCCAGAGUGCAAAACUGAAUGUAGUUGGUUCUUGUUUUUGAGGGCGAAUGUAGUUGGUUCUGGUCUAACGGUCCCUAUACCAUUAGAGUUGCUUGGAAACAUCUAUGUAUUCUGCACUUUAUUACUGCUGUUGAAUGCUGUUCUGAGUUUGUGAUGAUGCAGCUCGCCACUGAUC